AGAUUGAACGCUGGCGGCAGGCCUAACACAUGCAAGUCGAGCGGCAGCACGGGUACUUGUACCUGGUGGCGAGCGGCGGACGGGUGAGUAAUGCCUAGGAAUCUGCCUGGUAGUGGGGGGAUAACGCUCGGAAACGGACGCUAAUACCGCAUACGUCCUACGGGAGAAAGCGAGGGGACCUUUCGGGCCUUGCGCUAUCAGAUGAGCCUAGGUCGGAUUAGCUUAGUUGGUGAGGUAAUGGCUACGACCAAGGCGACGAUCCCGUAACUGGUCUGAGAGGAUGAUCAGUCACACGUGAACUGAGACACGGUCCAGACCUCCGUAGGGAGCAGCAGGUGGGAAUAGUAGGACAGUGGGA
rnacentral:rRNA from 1 species